rnacentral:rRNA from 1 species
GACGGAGGGUGCAAGCGUUAUUCGGAAUCAUUGGGCGUAAAGGGCGCGUAGGCGGUUGAAUAAGGCAGAUGUGAAAGCCCUUGGCUUAACCAAGGAAGUGCAUUUGAUACUAUUUGACUUGAGUAUGGGAGAGGGAAGUGGAAUUCCUGGUGUAGAGGUGAAAUUCGUAGAUAUCAGGAGGAACACCGGUGGCGAAAGCGACUUCCUGGACCAAUACUGACGCUGAGGCGCGAAGGCGUGGGGAGCAAACAGG